rnacentral:tRNA from 1 species
GCGCUGGUAGUUUAGUGGUUAUAAUUCCGCCUUGCCAAGGCGGAGACCCGGGUUCAAAUAUUGGCGCUCAAGCUGAUGCUUCGAACGCCAGUGAGAAAGUCCCGGCCAGCGCA